CAUUAAGAAGCUAUGUACCAGCACUAGCCUUUUAAGCUAGGUAAAGAGGGGACCCGCCCCUCCUUAAUGA
rnacentral:tRNA from 1 species